UCCACUGCAAGCAAACGACCAAAAUAGAACUUGUUUGAUCAACGAAGCUGUCUUCGCCGCGCCGCUUAGUACGCUCGCGUCGCAAGCAGGGUAGAUUAGGUGUGUGGAAACACGCUGCUGUCUGGCCCUGACGUCACGCCAGCGAGCACUUCCAUAGAUGUGAGCGCGAGAGUACAAUGACAGCGCCUCGUCCACUGUUCCCAACCAACCCUGAGUGCCGCUCAACAAUCUCAGGCAUAUACACGAGAAACAGCAGCAGAGCGUAGAAUGUGACAAGACAACAUCCCGCUUUAUUGCAACCCGUCAUCCGCCCUACACUCAACUAACAUUUUCAAACGGGUUGCAGGACUUCAAACGCUACAUCCUGUGUGGAAAAGCUCACCGUUGUUAUUAUUAACCAGGUAUUCAUUGCCCUUUUGUGGUCCGGGAAUAACAUGGGGACAUUUUUGUAAAAAUGUUUUGAAUUCCUCUCUAUCGGCUCGAAUCGGACAUAUGCUGGAUAACUGGAUUUGUUUGGGGGGGUGAAACAAAAGACAACCUCUGCUGUCUAGAUAUUCAGUUUUACUCUUGGAUUAUUGUUUCAGCAUCAUGAGCACGAGCGUAGUACCCUAUCAGCAAAGCUCCAGCAGCAGUGAACGAAGCUCUGGAUCAAUCCACUGCUAUCGUUGCCGGGAGGUUUGCAAAGGGGAGGUGGUACGAGUGCAAAGUGUCCACUUCCACAUCAAAUGUUUCACCUGCCAAGUGUGUGGCUGUGACUUGGCACACUCUGGAUUCUUCCAGAAGAGUGGUGAAUACAUCUGCACAACAGACUACCAGCGGCUGUAUGGCACAAAAUGUGACAGCUGUGGGGACUUUAUCUCAGGGGAGGUGGUCUCUGCUCUGGGACGCACAUAUCAUCCACAGUGUUUUGUCUGCAGCGUGUGCAGUAAACCUUUUCCAAUCGGUGACAGGGUGACGUUCAGAGGCAAAGAAUGUGUCUGUCAGCAGUGCUCCCUCAAGCUGGUUAAUUCCAAUGAGCCAAUAAAAAUCCAGGGGCCCAGUCACUGUGCAGGAUGUAAGGAGGAGAUCAAACAGGGUCAGUCACUGCUGGCGUUGGAGAAACAGUGGCACGUCAGCUGCUUCAGGUGUCAGACCUGUGGCCUGGUCCUGACAGGCGAGUACAUCAGCAAAGAUGGCAUUCCUUACUGCGAGUCAGAUUACCACUCCCAGUUUGGGAUAAAGUGUGAAACUUGUGACAUAUACAUCAGUGGACGAGUGCUGGAGGCCGGAGGAAAGCACUAUCACCCCACAUGUGCUCGUUGUUCCCGGUGUCAGAUGAUGUUUACAGAGGGAGAGGAGAUGUACCUCACAGGUUCAGAGGUGUGGCAUCCUGUGUGUAAACAGACGGCACGCGCAGAGAGGAAACUGAGACUCAGGCGCACAUCUGAAACCUCAAUUUCUCCACCAGGCUCCAGCAUAAAUUCACCUAGCAGGGUCAUCUGUGCGAAAGUGGAGAACGAGAUCCUUGAUUACAAAGACUUGGCCGCGCUGCCUAAGGUUAAAGCCAUUUAUGAGUUGCAGAGGCCAGACUUCUGGUCCUUUGAGCCCAGUCACAGAUACUGCUCCGAUGACAGGCUAGAGCACCUCAGCUAUGGGGAGUCCUUGGGCACACUCUCCCCUUACUCUCAGGACAUGUAUGACAGUAUGGAUAUGAGGAUGAGACAAUCCUCCAGUCCAGGAUACAUAGACUCUCCCACCUACAGCAGGCAGGGCAUGUCUCCCAUCAUGCCACGCUCUCCACAACACUACUACAGAUACGGCACUGAGAGUGGCAGAAGUUCACCCUAUUGCAAUCAGCUAGAUGCCCGGCCCAGCACGCCCACCACAAACCAAGCUCCCAAGCAUUUCCAUGUGCCAGCCUCAGGAGAGCCCAACAUCUACAGAAAGCCUCCCAUCUAUAAGAGACAUGCUACUAAGAGCAAGACCAGUGAGGACAUUGUCCACUCCUCCAAGUUCCUAACAGCCUACCCGCCUGAACACUACCAGCACUCAGAGCCUGAUUACUUCAAUUAUACCAGCUCUCCUAAAUCUUUACGUGCCACACGAAGAAGAUACUCAUCAGGUGGAGAAGAGGAUGGUUGGAGUCAUGGUCUUCACAGAAUUCAGGGUGGGAUUGGCAGGAUGAUCUUGAAGGAGGAGAUGAAAGCCCGCUCUGGUUCCUAUGACAACGACCCCUGGGGUAGUGCACGAAACUCCCGCAGUGGGAGCAGGGAGAUGUUGCACAGCAUGGGCCACAACAGCACAGUUAAUGGCACUCCUCUGACAAACUUUGCCGCUGAAAAUGACUACAUUUCCAAAUCAGCAUCUUUACCAGGAUAUGGCAGGAAUGGAUUGCAUAGGCCACAAAGUACCGACUACUUUCAGUAUGACAGUAGCAGUGAAGUCAACUGGGCAAUCAGAGCAGAGUACAAGGUAAGGGGAGUUGGUUCAAAUUUACCAGAGCAUUAAAGAAGGUCCAGAGAGACAAUAAAGCAUCCCGGUUCAGAGACACUCUUGAAACAUUAGCCUACUGCUGACUCCAGAGGAAAACUCAGAUUUACAGUAUGUGAGUCUAAUGAACCCUGAUAGGUCAAAACAACAUCCUGCUGGUCAAAGCAUGAAACUAGAGUCUGGUGAAAUCAGUACUUCCAGGUCAGAAGUUGUACUCCCCAGCUGGCCCUUAGUGGGUCGGGGACAACAGGAUAGCCAGAGGCCAUGGAGCAGUCAGGUGUUUUUUUGACCUCUGUGCUCUUGGUUGGGUGAGAACUAUAUUGUUCUGUAUGGUGCCGCUUCCUGUCUAUGUUACAGCUACUGUGCCAGAUGCUCUGAACCUUAAAAAAAAGGGAUUUCCUUUCGUUUCCAUAAGUGAGAGGAAAAGGUGGUCCACCAAUGCACAGACAGCUCUGAGAACAUUGCUUAGAUUUCCAUUAGUGAUCAAAGAAAAGCCUGUUAUUGUUAUCAAAUAAGCAAGACAAACAGAAAUGAGAUUAAUAUUUUAAAAAUGAAUUAAACAUGUUUAGGCUUAUACAUUUUAAUGUAUAAAAUUAGAUGCAUUGCUUCUCUUUCACCACAGAUUUACCCAUAUGAAGCACUUAUUGUGACCACUAGAGGGCGAAACAAAUUGCCAAAGGAUGUAGACAGGGCCAGAUUGGAGCGACAUCUUUCCCCUGAAGAGUUCUAUCAAGUGUUUGGGAUGACAAUAACAGAGUUUGACCGGCUGGCACUGUGGAAGAGGAAUGAGAUGAAGAAACAAGCCAGGCUGUUCUAGUGUGCCUCCCCCACACACCCAGAGACCUGAAUACCUGUUUCAGUAUAACUAAACAAACAAAUCCUGUGUCUCAGACCUAUAGUAAUGCCUGGGCUGUGCCGAGACAUUGUGCAACUCUCCUGUUUGAUGGGGCAUAUAAAUAAUUACACAGUCUAGAAUACUUGAAAAAGAAAGACCGAAAACAAAAUACCAUGGUGGGAUCAUUUACUUGAGUCAAGUGGUUCUUUGACACGUUUUUUAUUUAGUUUCUGAGUGACAAAGAUAAAAAAAGAAAUAAAAAAAAACAAUCAGGAAUAGGAAGGAUUUUUGAAUAAUGCCUUAUGUUCUCACUUCAUUUAUGCACCAGCAAAGUGAUUGAUCAGAAUGUAGAUACACUUAUAUAGUCACUAUUAUGUGAGUGGAUGGAUAGUCUGACAUUAUCCAUCUUAAGCUCCAAAAUUAAACAUGCAUAUUAUUUUGAAAUAUUUAAUUUUAUUUUUUCAGUUCUUUUAUUUCACUGAUCUAUAAGGACUACAAAAGCUUAGAAGUGGUGAAAUCAUAAAUUAGCGAUGAUUUGCUCGACAAUGAAUACCAAAGUCUGACUGUUAUUUGUAUAGUAAGCAGAAGACAUUGAGCACUAUUCAGUGCUGUACUUUGUUCAGGUCAUUUUCAAAGAAAUAAAAAAUAUUGAAUGUACACUUUUUAUUCAAAAAGACUUUAGGAUUAUUAGACUGUAAUGCUGAACCAUACAUUGGAUAUUGUGAUGGUAGAGAUAUGUACAGUAUAUGGCUUAUGUUAGAUAUAGACCAUAAAGAAGAAACCGAUACUACAAAAGGAUCAUGGUGCAAUUUUAUUUUUAUUUUAUUUUUCAGAUGUUAUGCUCUUGGAAAAGAUUCUGUUUAAGAAUAUUUAACAUCACCCCUGGUACAGAGCAGAAAAAUGUGAUACAUUAAAAGAGGUUUAGUAUCUUUUUGGUUCAUGCCAAGGCGAUUCCUGUGUUAUCAAAUGAUCUGAUCUUAAGUUAUGAUGCAGAUGAAGUACAUAUGGAUUGUCUGGAAAAUGAAAAGGACUAUAUGACUGAAAUAUACAUCUGACCAAUGCAACUAGUAACAUAAUAACCUGUACAUGUGAUUAGGACCUAACAAUAUCUAUGGGGUCUUUCAUACCUAGAGAUAAUGUCAGCCUCAACUGAUUACAGUAGUUUUGUACCUCACUGACAAACAGGUACAACCAUCAUGGUUUCUGCCUUUGUGUGUAGUGUUUACAACCUGUUUGCCCAAUAGAUGAAGUAUUCUAUUAAUUUCAUAGUGAAGAGAGCUAGAGUAUAAUGAUCAUAUUUUUGAUUCUCUCUUUUUUUAAAAUCACUACUACUUCCUUGCUAACUUUAUCCAUCUGUCAGUUUCAACAGAUGAUGUACAUGUUACAUUUAAAUAAAAGUUUUGUUUUCUUGU